rnacentral:tRNA from 1 species
GUAAGAGUAAAAAUGAUUGUAAAUCAUUUAUGGAAUAAAUCUCCUCUUUCA